UAAUUACCAUGAUGCUGCGUGCCGCAAUGCAAAACCAUCUAGAGACUGUCCCGCUUCCCGACUUCAUCUAACCAACAGAAACGCUGGAUUACACAAGUGAAGCGAGAUUGCUUGGAGCCGACUACUUCUUCCCGUGUUUGUGAGGCCCACUGCGAGGACACAAGCUUCCAGGAAAGGAGGCAGGACGGUUUGAAGAAAUUUAGGCGAGACGCUGGUUGGAUGCUGUUGGCAAUAAAAUCUGAACU